ensembl:lncRNA
AUGCAGCAGGUCAUAAAACAGUUAUGUGCAAUAUUUGCUUUGUGGACUUCCCCCAGACAGACAGGCGCUACGUGUGGACUUCCCCCAGACAGACAGGCGCUACGUGUGGACUUCCCCCAGACAGACAGGCGCUACGUGUGGACUUCCCCCAGACAGACAGACGCUACGUGUGGACUUCCCCCAGACAGAGACUAUGUGUGGACUUCCCCCAGACAGACAGACACUACGUGUGGACUUCCUGCAGACAGACAGAGACUACUGUGGACUUCCCCCAGACAGACAGAGACUAUGUGUGGACUUUCCCCAGGACCAGACAGAGACUAUGUGUGGACUUCCCCCAGACAGACAGACACUAUGUGUGGACUUCCCCAGACAGACAGACACUAUGUGUGGACUUCCCCCAGACAGACAUCACUAUGUGUGGACUUCCCCCAGACAGACAGAGACUACGUGUGGACUUCCCCCAAGAACAUCCAAUGUGUGGACUUCCCCCAGACAGACGAGACUAUUGUGGACUUCUCCAGACAGACAGCGACUUGUGUGGACUUCCCCCAGACAGACACUAUGUGUGGACUUCCCCCAGACAGACACUAUGUGUGGACUUCCCCCAGACAGAUGUUGCUCGCUGGUUGUGAUUUAACAAACACUAUGUGUGGUUGAAUUUAUUCCUCCACUGUGUGACUGUUGUCUUUUUGUUGUCAAGGCCUUACUGUAUAACACGGUGGCGUUUUAACCAAUGGGUUAUAGAGGAAACGCAAUUAUCACAACAUACACUACAAAAGUAUGUGGGACACCACUUCAAAUGAGUGGAUUCAGCUACUUCAGUCACACCCAUUGCUGACAGGUGUAUACCAUCGAGCACGCAGCCAUGCAAUCUCCAUAGACAAGCAAAGUUUGGUGGAGGAGGAAUAAUGGUCUGGGACUGUUUUGUCGGUUCGGGCCCCUUAGUUCCAGUGAAGGGAAAUCUCAACACUACAGCAUACAAUCGCAUUCUAGACGACUCUGUGCUCCAACUUUGUGGCAUCAGUUUGGGGAAGGCCCUUUCCUGUUUCAACAUGACAAUGCCCCUGUGCAAAAAGGGAGAUUCAUACAGAAAUGGUUUGUUGAGAUCGGUGUGGAAGAACUUGACAGGCCUGCACAGAGCCCUGACCUCAACCCCAUCAAACACCUUUAGGAAUAAUUGGAACGCCCUGGGUCUGAACCCAGCCCUGUUCAACUGGGUCCUGGAAUUCCUGAUGGGCUGUAUCACCGCCUGGUACGGCAAAUGCACCACCCACAACCGCAGGGCUUCUAUCUCAAGGCCAUGAGACUGUUAAAUAGCCAUCACUAUCCGCUGCCUUAUAUACCAUAGACUUGGAAUCACUGGCCAAUUCAAUAAUUGAACACUAGUAACUUUUAAUAAUGUUUAAAUAAUGUUAAAAUACUGCUUUACAAAAGCUGAAGAACAUACGCACAUCCAGGUGCUGGAGUUGUAGACAAACAGACAUUGAAAACACUGCACACUGCUGCUCGCGGUCCCAGGUGAUAUUUAUUUACAACAACGUUUCCCCCUUAGGUCUUCAUCAGGCAUCCACAUCACAGGUGGGGGUGGAAGGUCCUAUAUAUAGGGGCAGUAGUCAGUGACAUCACUUCCUGAAACAGGAGGUAACUAAAUGUAUACCAUAGUUUCACAAUAUUAACAUUCAAUGUAUCAAAAUAUAUGAAUACUUCUAUACUCAUUUCAUAUGUAUAUACUAUAUUCUAUUCUACUGUAUUUUAGACAAUGCUACUCUGAAUUUGCUCGAUCUAAAAUGUAUAUAUUUCAUAAUUCCAUUCUUUCAGAUUUGUGUGUAUUGUUGUGUAUUGUUACAUACUACUGCACUGUUGGAGCUAGGUACACAAGCAUUUAGUUAGAUAUUACUGCACUGUUGGAGCUAGGAACACAAGCAUUUAGUUAGAUAUUACUGUUGGAGCUAGGAACACAAGCAUUUAGUUAGAUGCUACUGCACUGUUGGAGCUAGUACACAGCAUGUAGUAGAAUAUAUACUUGCACUGUUGGAGCUAGUUUUGAACACAAGUCAUUUAUUUAGAUAUUACUGUUGGAGCUAGAAACACA